AAAGCUUUCUCCUUUCUGCACACCGGGAAAACCAAAAAUGCUAACUAGCAGUUGCAGAGUCCAACUCCCUCCUCAACUGCUCCUUAAAAUCCCACCCUCCGCGCCGCCAACGGCCAAAGACGGCGGCCUCCUCUUCCGCCAGAAACUCCUCUACCUCCAAUCCUUAAACAUCGACCCUCACAAAGCUCUCCGCCUGAAUCCUUCCCUCCGUUCCACCCCUCUUUCCUCUCUCCUUUCCCUCGAACACUCCCUGUCUUCCUUCGGCCUCUCGCGCACUUCCAUCGGCCGUAUCAUCGACAUGUACCCUCUCCUCCUCACCUCCGACCCUCUCCCUCCCAUCAACUUCCUCCUUCAAGAAGUCCCUCUCCCUCUCCCACGCCUUCCUCUCUCCCUCUCCCGCUGCCCUCGCCUCUUGCUCUCCUCCGUCACCACCCAACUCCGCCCAGCGCUCCGUUUCCUCACUUCCCUCGGCCUUGUUUUGAAUUCCCAUACUACCCUUCUCUUGGUUUCCAACGUGGAAAACACCUUGAAACCGAAAAUUAGCUUCCUUCAGUCUCUGGGUUUUGACGAGCCGGAGGUGAACCGGAUGGUGGUGAGGUCACCCGGGUUGCUGACUUUGAGUGUGGAGAAUAAUAUGAGGCCUAAAGUUAAGUUUUUCUUGGAGGAAAUGGAAGGUGACUUGAAGGAAUUGAAAAGGUUUCCUCAGUAUUUUUCGUUUAGUUUAGAAAAAAAGAUUAAGCCAAGGCAUAGAGCUUUGGUGGAACAUGGGUUUAAGUUGCCUUUGUCGAAGAUGUUAAAGGUUAGUGAUGGAGAGUUCAAUGCUAGAUUGAUUGAGAUGCGGUUGCAAAGAGUUCAAAGGAGAUAGACCUUUUUGUUGGACUAGUCCUUUUAAGGGUGUAAUGGACAGAAAGGCACGGUUUGUUGUCACUUGGCAGUCGAGUUGCUUUAGGAAUUUUGGCUUGUGUCAUUAUAAUGCUCUUUACUUGGAGGGCCGCUUGGUAUACAUUGAAGGUGGUGCCUUAGAUGCUUCAUGGGGUUUUAAUACAGGACUUGAUUGUAAUUGAUGUGGAGAUCCCCUUAGUCCAACAGAUUAGUAUUAUUUCUAUUCAUGGUAAGGUGGCCUUUACUCUAAUUUAUCGACUCGAGGGCUUUAGCAUGCUGGAAAUAAGAGAAUGCUGCUAAGAGGAUACUUGGACUUCAGGGAUUAUGAGAACCAAUAUAGCAUGCUGGAAAUAAGAAAUGCUGCUAAGAGGAUACUUGGACUUGCAGGAUUACGAGAACCAAUGUAGUUAAAAUACUUGCAGUAUGUCAAAAUGGUGAAAUCUCUUGAAAGUUCUGUCAACUAUUUUCUGAAGGAAGCAGCACAGAUCAUUCUCAACAUGUGUAAUAGUAGAUCAGGUUUUGCCAGUGGUUAUUAUCCCUCCAACGGAGGAUUAAGGUCCACAGUUUAGCUAUUCUUCUUCUCUUGGCCUUGUUCAUAUGCAAAAAAAAAAAAAUGGUCAUAUUCUUGUAAAAAGCCGAUGAAAUCACGAUGCUUUUGGAAUUUCUUUGAAUUAUGGAAAAACUGAAAUUUAUGAGAGAGGUGCCUUUAUCUUUUGCUCCA